UCUUAACAAAAAAUCACAUACUAACUUUAUUUAAUGGUUAGGAUAAACCAAACAUUAAAUCAACCCAAUCAAAAUUGGCCCAAACAAUGAGUUUCCGAUUUUACCCUAAUGGCAACACAUUCUCCCGUUUAUUUCAUCCGCUUCACUUCAGAUGAAAUAAAAAAAACUUUUGUACGGUUUCUACAAGUUUCUACAGAUCUCAUGGCAUUUUCUCUCUGCUAUUUUCUCAAUUUAUAAUUUCGAUCUGAUUGUCUACGAUAAAGAUGACCCCACCCUUGUGAUCCAUGAGGAAGUCAAGGCCAGGAAGAGUUCGAGAAGUUCGGAACGCUCCCGACCAGUCUUCCACUGAUAACUAGAAGUUCGAGCGAGUUCUGACGAUCAUCAGAGAUAGCUUAAAGAUGGACUCCAAGAGCUUGCUGCAAGAGAAGAUAAAUAUGCAAGUCAAAUUUGCAAUCAAGAACGAUGUCACCGAACUGAUUGAAAAUACCCCGUUGGUAUAUCUCAACCAUAUUUGUUGUGGAUGGUUGCGUGGCACGAAUUGCUGCCAAGCUAGAGGCAAUGGAACUCUGCGCUAGUGUAAAGGGCAGGCAUUUUCUUUGCACUUUUCCCUAAGGGAUAUUGAUUUUGUUGUCCUUAUGCGAAAGAAAUCAAUACUCAAGGUUCAUACACAUUUGAUCUUGAAUUUGUAUAUGCAGGAGUGAAUAUUGUAUGAUCAAGGUUUUUAAUUUUCAGAAAUUGUCAAUGUCUAGUUUAAAAAAUAGUGAUAUUAAAUUGAUUGACUAUUUAUGAAAUUUUCAUAGGUACUACACUAUUUAUUAAA